rnacentral:rRNA from 1 species
GACGAACGCUGGCGGCGUGCUUAACACAUGCAAGUCGAACGGACAGGCCCUGCUCUUGUGGGGUGCUCGAGUGGCGAACGGGUGAGUAACACGUGAGUAACCUGCCCCUGACUUUGGGAUAACUUCAGGAAAAUGGGGCUCAUACCGGAUAGGAGCUCCUGCUGCAUGGUGGGGGUUGGUAAGUUUCGGCGGUUGGGGCUGGACUGGCGGGUUAUCAGCUUGUUGGUGGGGUAGUGGCUUACCAAGGCUGUGACGGGUAGCCGGCCUGGGAGGGUGACCGGCCACAAUGGGACUGAGAGACGGACCAGACUGCUACGGGAGGCAGCAGUGGGGAAUAUUGCGCAAUGGGCGGGAGCCUGAUGCAGCAACGCCGCGUGCGGGAUGAUGGCCUUCGGGUGAUAAACCGCUUUCGCCUGUGACGAAGCGUGAGUGACGGUAAUGGGUAAAGAAGCACCGGCUAACUACGUG